rnacentral:snoRNA from 1 species
CCAUUACAUGUUACAUGUAUUCAAAUCACCAUCUUUUAGCUAAGCUUGUGAUGAAUUUGCUUUUUUUCUGAUAAAGCUG